AUUGAACGCUGGCGGCAGGCCUAACACAUGCAAGUCGAGCGGAUGAAGGGAGCUUGCUCCUGGUUUCAGCGGCGGACGGGUGAGUAAUGCCUAGGAAUCUGCCUGGUAGUGGGGGAUAACGUCCGGAAACGGGCGCUAAUACCGCAUACGUCCUGAGGGAGAAAGUGGGGGAUCUUCGGACCUCACGCUAUCAGAUGAGCCUAGGUCGGAUUAGCUAGUUGGUGGGGUAAAGGCCUACCAAGGCGACGAUCCGUAACUGGUCUGAGAGGAUGAUCAGUCACACUGGAACUGAGACACGGUCCAGACUCCUACGGGAGGCAGCAGUGGGGAAUAUUGGACAAUGGGCGAAAGCCUGAUCCAGCCAUGCCGCGUGUGUGAAGAAGGUCUUCGGAUUGUAAAGCACUUUAAGUUGGGAGGAAGGGCAAUAAGUUAAUACCUUGCUGUUUUGACGUUACCAACAGAAUAAGCACCGGCUAACUUCGUG
rnacentral:rRNA from 1 species